CAGCCGCCGCGGUAAUACGGAGGGUGCAAGCGUUAUCCGGAAUCAUUGGGUUUAAAGGGUCCGCAGGCGGACUUAUAAGUCAGUGGUGAAAGCCUACAGCUUAACUGUAGAACUGCCAUUGAUACUGUAAGUCUUGAAUUCGGUCGAAGUGGGCGGAAUGUGUAGUGUAGCGGUGAAAUGCUUAGAUAUUACACAGAACACCGAUAGCGAAGGCAGCUCACUAGGCCUGGAUUGACGCUCAGGGACGAAAGCGUGGGGAUCAAACAGGAUUAGAUACCCUGGUAGUCCACGCCGUAAACUAUGAUUACUCGUUUUCGGCGAUAUACUGUCGGAGACUAAGCGAAAGUGAUAAGUAAUCCACCUGGGGAGUACGAUCGCAAGGUUGAAACUCAAAUGAAUUGACGG
rnacentral:rRNA from 1 species